CAAAACGGAUGGGUGCAGGCAUGGCUAAAUUCAUUUGCCAAGAGGUUGAGACAGUUGGUGAUUAUGAUGAAUAUUGCCACUAUGUAGCUGGACUUGUCGGACUAGGUUUAUCUAAGCUGUUCCACGCUGCGAAGUCAGAGGAUUUGGCACCUGAUUCUCUUUCAAAUUCUAUGGGAUUGUUUCUUCAGAAAACAAACAUUAUCCGAGAUUACUUGGAG
rnacentral:misc_RNA from 1 species